rnacentral:rRNA from 1 species
CCUACGGGAGGCAGCAGUGAGGAAUAUUGGUCAAUGGACGAGAGUCUGAACCAGCCAAGUAGCGUGAAGGAUGACUGCCCUAUGGGUUGUAAACUUCUUUUAUAUGGGAAUAAAACGUUCCACGUGUGGGAUUUUGUAUGUACCAUAUGAAUAAGGAUCGGCUAACUCCGUGCCAGCAGCCGCGGUAAUACGGAGGAUCCGAGCGUUAUCCGGAUUUAUUGGGUUUAAAGGGAGCGUAGGUGGAUUGUUAAGUCAGUUGUGAAAGUUUGCGGCUCAACCGUAAAAUUGCAGUUGAAACUGGCAGUCUUGAGUACAGUAGAGGUGGGCGGAAUUUGUGGUGUAGCGGUGAAAUGCUUAGAUAUCACGAAGAACUCCGAUUGCGAAGGCAGUUCACUGGACUGCAACUGACACUGAGGCUCGAAAGUGUGGGUAUCAAACAGGAUUAGAUACCCCGGUAGUC